AGAGUUUGAUCCUGGCUCAGGACGAACGCUGGCGGCGUGCCUAAUACAUGCAAGUCGAACGCUUCUUUUUCCACCGGAGCUUGCUCCACCGGAAAAAGAGGAGUGGCGAACGGGUGAGUAACACGUGGGUAACCUGCCCAUCAGAAGGGGAUAACACUUGGAAACAGGUGCUAAUACCGUAUAACAAUCGAAACCGCAUGGUUUUGAUUUGAAAGGCGCUUUCGGGUGUCGCUGAUGGAUGGACCCGCGGUGCAUUAGCUAGUUGGUGAGGUAACGGCUCACCAAGGCCACGAUGCAUAGCCGACCUGAGAGGGUGAUCGGCCACAUUGGGACUGAGACACGGCCCAAACUCCUACGGGAGGCAGCAGUAGGGAAUCUUCGGCAAUGGACGAAAGUCUGACCGAGCAACGCCGCGUGAGUGAAGAAGGUUUUCGGAUCGUAAAACUCUGUUGUUAGAGAAGAACAAGGAUGAGAGUAACUGUUCAUCCCUUGACGGUAUCUAACCAGAAAGCCACGGCUAACUACGUGCCAGCAGCCGCGGUAAUACGUAGGUGGCAAGCGUUGUCCGGAUUUAUUGGGCGUAAAGCGAGCGCAGGCGGUUUCUUAAGUCUGAUGUGAAAGCCCCCGGCUCAACCGGGGAGGGUCAUUGGAAACUGGGAGACUUGAGUGCAGAAGAGGAGAGUGGAAUUCCAUGUGUAGCGGUGAAAUGCGUAGAUAUAUGGAGGAACACCAGUGGCGAAGGCGGCUCUCUGGUCUGUAACUGACGCUGAGGCUCGAAAGCGUGGGGAGCAAACAGGAUUAGAUACCCUGGUAGUCCACGCCGUAAACGAUGAGUGCUAAGUGUUGGAGGGUUUCCGCCCUUCAGUGCUGCAGCUAACGCAUUAAGCACUCCGCCUGGGGAGUACGACCGCAAGGUUGAAACUCAAAGGAAUUGACGGGGGCCCGCACAAGCGGUGGAGCAUGUGGUUUAAUUCGAAGCAACGCGAAGAACCUUACCAGGUCUUGACAUCCUUUGACCACUCUAGAGAUAGAGCUUCCCCUUCGGGGGCAAAGUGACAGGUGGUGCAUGGUUGUCGUCAGCUCGUGUCGUGAGAUGUUGGGUUAAGUCCCGCAACGAGCGCAACCCUUAUUGUUAGUUGCCAUCAUUCAGUUGGGCACUCUAGCAAGACUGCCGGUGACAAACCGGAGGAAGGUGGGGAUGACGUCAAAUCAUCAUGCCCCUUAUGACCUGGGCUACACACGUGCUACAAUGGGAAGUACAACGAGUCGCGAAGUCGCGAGGCUAAGCUAAUCUCUUAAAGCUUCUCUCAGUUCGGAUUGCAGGCUGCAACUCGCCUGCAUGAAGCCGGAAUCGCUAGUAAUCGCGGAUCAGCACGCCGCGGUGAAUACGUUCCCGGGCCUUGUACACACCGCCCGUCACACCACGAGAGUUUGUAACACCCGAAGUCGGUGAGGUAACCUUUUGGAGCCAGCCGCCUAAGGUGGGAUAGAUGAUUGGGGUGAAGUCGUAACAAGGUAGCCGUAUCGGAAGGUGCGGCUGGAUCACC
rnacentral:rRNA from 1 species